GACGGAGGGUGCAAACGUUGUUCGGAAUUACUGGGCGUAAAGCGUGCGCAGGCGGUUUGGCGAGUCUGAUGUGAAAGCCCCGGGCUUAACCUGGGAACGGCGGUGGAGACUGCUCGGCUAGAGUGCGUCAGAGGGGGGUAGAAUUCCACGUGUAGCAGUGAAAUGCGUAGAGAUGUGGAGAAAUACCGAUGGCGAAGGCAGCUCCCUGGGAUGACACUGACGCUCAUGCACGAAAGCGUGGGGAGCAAACAGG
rnacentral:rRNA from 1 species